rnacentral:lncRNA from 1 species
CUCUCUCUCUCUCUCUCUCUCUCUCUCUCUCUCUCUCUCUCUCUCUCUCUCUCUCUCUCUCUCGUACACACACACACAGUUUAACUUUUUAAUCUAUUUGCUAUGACACAUCCACAUUGUUUUUAUGCUUUAGUAAAAUUUGGUACUAUCACUAAGAUUGCUUAGUUUUCUAUGAUAGUAGAUAACCAGUUGUCCAAGACAGUCACAGAGGCCAGUCACAUCCAGUUUCACUUACUUACUGUUCACAACCUAAUUGGACAUUUCCUCUCUGUGAAUAUUUCAAGCUUUCAAGCUUAAUUGCCAUGCCAUGAGUUGUUGGGCUAGCACUGCCUAGGGAGUCAAUAGGUAGCUGAGCCCAGUGGUUUUGUUUGCACUUUGCAUCUAUUGCCCAUUCACAGUGUCAAGGUUGGUGCACAAUCCCAGACUCCUGCUGCUCGAAUCAAGUCAGUGACAUCAAUGGUGGACUUGACUCCAUUUCUGCCUUGAUGACAACCGAAGAGGGACUGGAGCACACAUCUAGAGUCUCCAGGGGCACAUCCAGGUAGGAGCACAUGAGAAGACGAGGGCAUAGCAGCUCCCAGGCUCCUCCAUCAGUAAGGCCCUGGCUUUGUCUGGCUGUGCAUGAGGAAGCACAGAGGCACAGUGGAGCAAAUAGAGAUGCCCAGGGAGAGCCUCACUGUUUACUAGAAGGUCUUUGAGGGUAAUGACAGUAACCAGUACUGACCGUUUACCAUGUCUGGACUCUUCUGGCAGCCUGUGAUCAUUAUUUAAUCCUUUCUAUCUUCUGAGAUGGAGAGUCCAUCAUUGGAGUGAUGAUACAGAUAUAGGAGCUAGGUCUUGUCAUCUUCAGAAAGUUUUCCAUAGUUACUCGGUUAUACAGUACAAAGCCGGGCUAUAGUCGAGGCUAGGUACUGAACGUGAACCUGCCCACACCCUUGCUAUAAAAUAUGUAAACCUCUUCAAGGAACAGAAAUAAGAGGUGGUUAUUUUUGGUGUCUACUAUUAUAAAUACUGUGUUGCUAAUCUGAAUCCUGGUGUGGGGGAAAUCAUUCUUUGAAUAUAAAUUGCUUUAUAUCGUCCCAUGGGCUGCGUAGAAGGCCAAACGCAGAUGUCUAUAAUGUUAUACCACCCAGAGCGAGCACUUGAAUUUCUUUUUUUAGUGUUCGCAUCAGGCCUGAGAUGCACAGCUCUGGGGAGAUUGAAUUGAAUUGAAUCCUUCAUCCAGUGAGUAUGAUUUAGUGUGCUUGCCUAGAGGGCCAUGCCUCAAUAUGGGGAGUGACUACUAUGAAGUCCUGAUUAAAAGUACUGCCACAGCUGAUAAAAAAUAGAUCAAGCUAUGCAGCUGUGCAGACCUGGGUGCUGUCAAUAGAUCAGUUAUGGGGGAAGGUUAACUGUUUGAAAUGUUUUCAUUCAUCUAAAAUGGCCUUUUCUGCCCCUCCCAAUUCCUGUAAGACCUGAGUCCAAAGACUGCUAAGGAAAGGAGGAGCUUUUUCUUAUGGAGUUGUUUUCAAGACAAUGACAAAAAGAGUUAUGAAGAAAAUAUGUGUGAAAUUAAAUACAUUUUGUGAAGUUAUGAUGCAAACUAAUUGAGUCUAAGGCAAGUAAAUGCUUUCCAGUAACUGCUAACGACUAGGAAAAUUUAUUCUGAUAUUCAGCAACUUUAAGAGGCAUGUUACCUACCGUAUCCUAUAAUUCCGAGCACACCAAAUAUGAAGAACCAGAAGAGGAACCCAGCUGUGAACCUCAGGAGUAUUAAAAAAGUCCAACUCAGUGCCAUGGCAACAGUCAGGCCGCUAGAGAUAAAACCCACAAUAAACAGAGUCAGGUGUGCUGUAUGCAACACAACAUGAACAUCCAGAUGGGAGCUAUUUCUGUUGGAAAUCACUCUAGAACAUUCCAUUUUACUGUCUGUACAAAUACGGCUCUAAGAAGUACAAACAAUGGUUUUCAUUAAGGAUUUCAUAUGAAAGAGGAAAGCUGAGGCCCAGUCAGGACUUUCCAUUCG